GAUUUGCAGGUAUAUGUGUAUGUAUGUGCUCUUGUUGGCUGCUAGCUUUUCCUCACCUUUGAUUUCCCCUUGUUUUCCUCGCAGAUUUGUCGGGUGUUGCCGGUGCCUCCUUUGAUCUGACCCGGUUGCGUCUUCGUUCAUGGAUCUGAGGUUAACCCCUCUUCUUCUCCUCCUUUUGUCCUCUCGUGUUAGAGUGCUAGGUAUACGGCGGCAUGGCCAAGUGUUGUGUGUUUGGCCAGCAUGGGCCAUUUGUUGUUUGUCCUGCAUCUGGUAAAGGCCAAAGGUCUUUUCCUCUUUGUCUGGUCUGGUAGUGCCUGCAAUUGGUGCUUCUUCCCUGGUGGAGUAUUUGUGUUUUGUUGCUUUUAGUCUAGCUAGGUUCCAAGGAAGGGACAUUUAGGCUUUUCUUGUUUUGCUGGUACGAGGAGACAUGGCCGGAAGCACCAGCGAACUACACCAAUAGUAUCUCUCGUUAGCUCACAAACAUCUUUGUGAAGUACUACCUCCGUAGUAUACUCUACUUUCAAUCUUGUACUUGUAACCUAUUUUGUCCUUCCCUUCUUCACAGUUUGGGAGAGAUACAACAGAGAAGACCACCAGAGAAACGGUCGUCCCGAACCCAGACUAUCAUUGCUAUACUUGGUGAGCUCUAGAGGUAGUAUAUAGAACAUCUCUGUUAUCUGGAAAUGUACUUCUAUGUCAAACUGAAAAAAGAUAUAUGUUGUCUGGUAGGCUGGUAAUAUGUCCAUCCAUUAACCACUAUUUUGUCGUAAUGCAGGGAUAUCUGGUGUGUCUGCAUAUGCAUAAAAUCUUCUUGCCGCUGCACCUGUAGACCUACUGGGGCUGCUUCUCUUGUUUCAUGAUUCGACGGAGAGCUCAUUUCAUGUUUUGGAUCUCUUGCCAGGUUUGUUUAUGUCUUGGAUUGGAGCAGCGACGCAAGUAGGGAGAGAUCGUUGCCUGGACUGCUUCUACUCUCAUCAUCGUGGCUUGCAGGUCGCCACC
rnacentral:lncRNA from 1 species